GAUGAACGCUGGCGGCGUGCCUAAUACAUGCAAGUCGAGCGAACGGACGAGAAGCUUGCUUCUCUGAUGUUAGCGGCGGACGGGUGAGUAACACGUGGAUAACCUACCUAUAAGACUGGGAUAACUUCGGGAAACCGGAGCUAAUACCGGAUAAUAUUUUGAACCGCAUGGUUCAAAAGUGAAAGACGGUCUUGCUGUCACUUAUAGAUGGAUCCGCGCUGCAUUAGCUAGUUGGUAAGGUAACGGCUUACCAAGGCAACGAUGCAUAGCCGACCUGAGAGGGUGAUCGGCCACACUGGAACUGAGACACGGUCCAGACUCCUAUGGGAGGCAGCAGUAGGGAAUCUUCCGCAAUGGGCGAAAGCCUGACGGGGCAACGCCGCGUGAGUGAUGAAGGUCUUCGGAUCGUAAAACUCUGUUAUUAGGGAAGAACAUAUGUGUAAGUAACUGUGCACAUCUUGACGGUACCUAAUCAGAAAGCCACGGCUAACUACGUG
rnacentral:rRNA from 1 species